rnacentral:tRNA from 11 species
GAUGUGGGCGUGGGUUCGAAUCCCACCUCCGACACAGACUUUUAACAACGAACAACACUGAAUAAAACAACAAACCGGUCGACACCACAAACAUCAAC